UUCAUGUUCAUGAAUGAUCAUAUACACAGUUGGAACGAUACAGAGAUUAGCAUGGCCUCUGCGCAGGGGUGACACACACACAUGUAAAGCAUUCCAUAUUAAA